UACGUAGGGGGCAAGCGUUGUCCGGAAUCAUUGGGCGUAAAGAGCGUGUAGGCGGCCUGAUAAGUCGGUUGUGAAAGUCAAGGGCUCAACCCUUGAAUGCCGGCCGAUACUGUCAGGCUAGAGUCCGGAAGAGGCGAGUGGAAUUCCUGGUGUAGCGGUGAAAUGCGCAGAUAUCAGGAGGAACACCGAUGGCGAAGGCAGCUCGCUGGGACGGUACUGACGCUGAGACGCGAAAGCGUGGGGAGCGAACAGG
rnacentral:rRNA from 1 species